rnacentral:rRNA from 1 species
GGGGAACCCACUAUCUUUAGUCGGAUAGUAUCCUUACGUGAAUACAUAGCGUAAGGAAGGCAGACCCAGGGAACUGAAACAUCUAAGUACCUGGAGGAAGAGAAAGAAAAAUCGAUUUCCUGAGUAGCGGCGAGCGAAACGGAAAGAGCCCAAACCAAGAAGCUUGCUUCUUGGGGUUGUAGGACACUCUAUACGGAGUUACAAAAGAAAGUUAUAAAUGAAGCGGUCUGGAAAGGCCCGCCAAAGACGGUAACAGCCCGGUAGUUGAAAUGGCUUUCCCUCCAGAGUGGAUCCUGAGUACGGCGGAACACGUGAAAUUCCGUCGGAAUCCGGGAGGACCAUCUCCCAAGGCUAAAUACUCCCUAGUGACCGAUAGUGAACCAGUACCGUGAGGGAAAGGUGAAAAGCACCCCGGAAGGGGAGUGAAACAGUUCCUGAAACCGUGUGCCUACAAGUAGUUAGAGCCCGUUAAUGGGUGAUAGCGUGCCUUUUGUAGAAUGAACCGGCGAGUUACGAUUUGUUGCAAGGUUAAGCGGAAAAAGCGGAGCCGUAGCGAAAGCGAGUCUGAAUAGGGCGCAUAAGUAACAGGUCGUAGACCCGAAACCAGGUGAUCU